ACGACUCUCGGCAACGGAUAUCUCGGCUCUCGCAUCGAUGAAGAACGUAGCGAAAUGCGAUACCUGGUGUGAAUUGCAGAAUCCCGUGAACCAUCGAGUCUUUGAACGCAAGUUGCGCCCGAGGCCCUUCGGCCGAGGGCACGCCUGCCUGGGCGUCACGCCAAA
rnacentral:rRNA from 1 species